GCCAUCGUAGCUCAGAUUGGUUAGAGCACUUCCUUGGUAAGGAAGGGGUCACCGGUUCAAAUCCGGUCGAUGGCU
rnacentral:tRNA from 1 species